UACGGAGGGUGCGAGCGUUAAUCGGAAUUACUGGGCGUAAAGCGCGCGUAGGCGGAUAGCUAAGCCAGAUGUGAAAUCCCCGGGCUCAACCUGGGCACUGCAUUUGGAACUGGCUGUCUAGAGUACAGCAGAGGGGUGUGGAAUUUCCGGUGUAGCGGUGAAAUGCGUAGAGAUCGGAAGGAACACCAGUGGCGAAGGCGACACUCUGGGCUGAUACUGACGCUGAGGUGCGAAAGCGUGGGUAGCGAACAGG
rnacentral:rRNA from 1 species